GAGGGUAUAGCUCAGUGGUAGAGUGCAUGCUUAGCAUGCAUGAGGUCCUGGGUUCAAUCCCCAGUACUUCCU
rnacentral:tRNA from 1 species